rfam:Pan troglodytes isolate Yerkes chimp pedigree #C0471 (Clint) chromosome 1, whole genome shotgun sequence.
GCUGGGCGUGGUGGCUCACGCCUGUAAUCCCAACACUUUGGGAGGCUGAGGCGGGUGGAUCACCUGAGGUCGGGAGUUCAAGACCAGCCUGGCCAACAUGGUGAAACCCUGUCUCUA